rnacentral:siRNA from 1 species
CUAUGAACGCUUGGCUGCCAC